UAAUAUACAAAAUGUAAUAUGAAAAUUUUACUUUGCAAUAUGUAACAUACAAAAUGUACUAAAUUUCAACUAAUUUCUAAGCAUUUCAACAAAAAUUUGUAAACAUUUGUACCAAAGUUAGAUUAAUUUCUAAGCAUUAAUUAGAAGUAUACAACUAUAUUCCACGAACAAUUGCAAUGAUCCAAACGGGGUCUAAAUGU
rnacentral:lncRNA from 1 species